rnacentral:rRNA from 1 species
AGGGAAGAAACGGUUUGGUCUAAUACACUGAACUAAUGACGGUACCUGAAGAAUAAGCACCGGCUAACUACGUGCCAGCAGCCGCGGUAAUACGUAGGGUGCAAGCGUUAAUCGGAAUUACUGGGCGUAAAGCGUGCGCAGGCGGUUGUGCAAGACAGAUGUGAAAUCCCCGGGCUCAACCUGGGAAUUGCAUUUGUGACUGCACGGCUAGAGUGUGUCAGAGGGGGGUAGAAUUCCACGUGUAGCAGUGAAAUGCGUAGAGAUGUGGAGGAAUACCGAUGGCGAAGGCAGCCCCCUGGGAUAACACUGACGCUCAUGCACGAAAGCGUGGGGAGCAAACAGGAUUAGAUACCCUGGUAGUCCACGCCCUAAACGAUGUCUACUAGUUGUCGGGUCUUAAUUGACUUGGUAACGCAGCUAACGCGUGAAGUAGACCGCCUGGGGAGUACGGUCGCAAGAUUAAAACUCAAAGGAAUUGACGGGGACCCGCACAAGCGGUGGAUGAUGUGGAUCAAUUCGAUGCAACGCGAAAAACCUUACCUACCCUUGACAUGUACGGAAUCCUUGAGAGAUCAGGGAGUGCUCGAAAGAGAACCGUAACACAGGUGCUGCAUGGCUGUCGUCAGC